rnacentral:rRNA from 1 species
UACGGGGGGGGCAAGCGUUGUUCGGAAUUACUGGGCGUAAAGGGCUCGUAGGCGGCCAACUAAGUCAGACGUGAAAUCCCUCGGCUUAACCAGGGAACUGCGUCUGAUACUGGAUGGCUUGAAUCCGGGAGAGGGAUGCGGAAUUCCAGGUGUAGCGGUGAAAUGCGUAGAUAUCUGGAGGAACACCGGUGGCGAAGGCGGCAUCCUGGCCUGCUCUUGACGCUGAGGCGCGAAAGCUAGGGUAGCAAACGGG